UUUGAUGGCGACCGGCGCACGGGUGAGUAACACGUAUCCAACCUGCCGAUGACUCGGGGAUAGCCUUUCGAAAGAAAGAUUAAUACCCGAUGGCAUAGUUCUUCCGCAUGGUAGAACUAUUAAAGAAUUUCGGUCAUCGAUGGGGAUGCGUUCCAUUAGGUUGUUGGCGGGGUAACGGCCCACCAAGCCUUCGACGGAUAGGGGUUCUGAGAGGAAGGUCCCCCACAUUGGAACUGAGACACGGUCCAA
rnacentral:rRNA from 1 species